rnacentral:rRNA from 1 species
UACGGGGGGAGCAAGCGUUGUCCGGAUUUACUGGGCGUAAAGAGCGCGCAGGCGGUCGGAUCAGUCGAAUGUGAAAGCCCCCGGCUCAACUGGGGAGGGUCAUUCGAUACUGUCCGACUCGAAGGCAGGAGAGGGAAGCGGAAUUCCCGGUGUAGUGGUGAAAUGCGUAGAUAUCGGGAGGAACACCAGUGGCGAAGGCGGCUUUCUGGCCUGUUCUUGACGCUGAGGCGCGAAAGCUAGGGGGGCGAACGGG